CUUUUGUCCCUUCCAUGUGGGAGGUUAGCAAUUCUACACGGUGGUUCUUCUCCCUCUCCUUCUCCAGUUGACAGACUAUGAGAGAGGUCGGCCCUGUGUCGUGGAUUCCAGCCCCUCUUCUUCUCUCCUUCGCCGGCGUUGCCAACUGGAGUGGGAGAGGAUGGGGGCGUGUCUGUGCGUAGCUAUUGGUUUGCUUUUUUCUUUUCUCCUCCUUGGCCAAUAAAUCUGAUCUGGAUCCAGAUCCACCCCUUUCUUUGAUCCAUUUCUUCUCCCUCGAGUCCCUAUUGAGGGCAGCGAGGUUGAAGAUUCAUUCAUGGAUGGCGGUGGCUUCUAUGCCGAGGCUUCGCCAGAUCCACGGUGCUGGACUGCUUCAGCAGCUGGUGCUCCCUUCCCCAACCUCCUUUUUCUUUCUUGUAGGCGGUGCUUCUUCCUGGUGCUUGCAAGCGGCGCUGGGAGAGGUCCGGGUCCAUUCGUCGGUGACUCCUCGUGGUGGAGAGGAAUGUCGGGAGGUGGAUCUGGAGGCCCCACCUUGAAAAAAGCCUGUUGGAUCCCCAAAUCUGGCGCCUGGUUGGUCUCCUUCUUGUUUCUGGUUCUGCUGCCAUGGAGGUAUGAGGAAAGGGAUGAGAGGGGUAAGAUCAGGUGGCAGACGAACUAUCUUUGUUAAUCCUUGGAGCAAACCGAUUGCAGCUAUGCUUCCUCUACAUGAUGAUAAGUUGCAGUAUCUUAUGGUCGAAUGGCGACCAAUCGGAGUUCUGGUGAUGGCUGGCUCCUUUCUUUCCUCCCGGCUGUUGUACCAAAAGGGAGGCAGUUAUGUUGCUUCAACCUGGCGAUUCAAGACUCUACCUCCAGCGGCUCGUCGGUGGUGCUCUAGCCAUCCCUCUGCCCUGGUUUCGUCCCCGGCGGCAGCGGGAUUGGGCCAGAGCUGAAGCUUGCGACGAGGACUCGAUUGCAUUUUAGCUUCGUCUUCUGGGAUCAUGUUUGCAAAGUGUGUGGACCGGGUUGUAACUUUUAUUUUUCUAAUGGGUCCAUCUGUAAAAUGUACUUGGUUGUCUGUCUAAUAUGAGUCUGGGUUCUUCGGGACCCUACCUCUGUUAAAAAAAAGGCGUCUUGCCGUGUGCACCUAACACCUGUUUUUUUUGCGAAUUAACACGCGUUAUUUUUGCAC
rnacentral:rRNA from 1 species